rnacentral:misc_RNA from 1 species
AACGCACCUUGCGCUCCUUGGUAUUCCGAGGAGCAUGCCUGUUUGAGUGUCAUUAAAUUCUCAACUAUACAAGUUUUUAUUAACCUGUAUGGCUUGGAUCAUGGGAUUUGCGGGCUUCCUGAGUCGGCUAUCCUUAAAUGCAUUAGCAGAGCUUUUGCCGCUAUUCUCUGGUGUGAUAAUUAUCUACGCCAUUGAGAAGUGACAUGUUGAGGCUUCGCUUCUAAUCGUCUUCACAGACAAUAUUUGACAAUCUGACCUCAAAUCAGGUAGGACUACCCGCUGAACUUAA